rnacentral:lncRNA from 1 species
CCACCACAACACAUUAUACACAGGUAGGCUACCUCGAUUCACAUAUGAAUCUACCGCCAAUUUGGAUAUCGCAAUGAGUCGGUUACGAUAUAUUUUCUGCGGUUCAACCGGAGAACGCAGAAGCAUAUCCCUGUAUAAUUUUUUCUCAACUUCAUUCUAUUUAUUUUAGAUAGACCUCAAUACCAAACUAAGCCUGACGCUAUUAGAUAGAAUGACGUUGAUGUGUUCUCCAAUACGACUACAUAAAAUAUAUUAUAACGGACUGAUCACAGAAUAUAAUAUUACGUACGGAAACAAACAUGAUAUUUUUCUAUCGUCGUUUCUCACCUCCCGUAACGCAAUCUUCUUGUAAAAAUGAAGUCUUAGUUAAUAUCCAAACGGUCAAGUAUCUAAAUUUUAUAAUAAAAUAGACAUUAAAUAAUUAAAAUUAAAAUAAUUAAAAAAUUAGUAAUAAAAUUAAAAUUUUAAAUUUUAGAUAACCAAAUCAAAAUAAUUUAUAAUUUAAAAAAACUUAGAUACCUUCCUAUUCUUUAUUGUUUUCNUCUUGUAAAAAUGAAGUCUUAGUUAAUAUCCAAACGGUCAAGUAUCUAAAUUUUAUAAUAAAAUAGACAUUAAAUAAUUAAAAUUAAAAUAAUUAUUAUCUUUGUAGAAAAUUAAAAUAAUUAAAAAAUUAGUAAUAAAAUUAAAAUUUUAAAUUUUAGAUAACCAAAUCAAAAUAAUUUAUAAUUUAAAAAAACUUAGAUACCUUCCUAUUCUUUAUUGUUUUCUACUUUUCAUUGGUAUAGUUUUAAUUAUUUUAUUUUUCUACAAAGAUAAAUAAAAAACUUAUGAGAUCCUCCAAAAAUAAUCAGUAUCAUGCACUAAAAGCCAGGUCACAUAUUAUUUUUAUUAAUUAUUAUGAAAAAGUUUUAAUAUUCACAUUGUAGAUAUCUAUCUAUCUAAAUCUAUACAAUCUAUAUAUAAUAUACAGUAAUAUACGUACUCUUCUUUAGACAGUAAUUUUAAAAUUACGGGGCAUUAUCUAAAGUUUUCCCUUCCAAUAAAUUUUAAUUUUAUACAUUUUUCCUAUUUUUAAUAAAAAAAAAUGGAACGUCAUAUCACGGUUACACCGAAGAAUCACCUAUGAAUAGUUGAAUACCAUGCCAUGUGCGAAGUCGCUAAAUACGAAAAUCGGGGCUCUCGAUUCUACUCCGCUCUCGCUUUUCUCCUCUCUCUCUCUCUGUGGAUCUCUCACGCACCCUCGUCGUUGAUCGCGGGGACUUGGGGUUCUCCACCCCGGAUCUCGACUACUCCGUGGAGAAUUCGAAACCCUAGAAGCCCAAUCGAAGUCGAAUCGGCGCAACCAUGGGCAUCCUCUUCACGCGGAUGCUCUCCUCGCUCUUCGGCAAUCGCGAGGCGCGGAUCCUCGUGCUCGGCCUCGACAAUGCCGGGAAAACCACUAUCCUAUGUACUUCCCCUCCCUUUCUUCGAUUUCUAGGGGUUUUUGUUUGUGUUUUUGAUCGGGAUCUGUUGAUCUAAUUGUGUUUUUCGUGGUUUAGAUCGGCUUCAGAUGGGGGAAGUGGUCUCGACAAUCCCGAGUGAGUGUUCUGUGUCGAAUUUUUCUGAUCAAUUGCUAAGUUUGGUGACUGAUUCUUUUUCGUUGUUGAUUUCGUUCAGCGAUCGGAUUCAAUGUGGAAACGGUGCAGUAUAACAAUAUAAAGUUUCAGGUUUGGGAUCUAGGUAUGUCGAUCUGCUACUUUACUUGUGUUUGAUCAUCUCUGCACGAGUGUAUUGCUCAAAUCUACUGCUGAUAAACUUAGAUUUUAUUGGAAACUUCAGGUUUAGUAUUCUUAGCAUUAAUGGAGAUAGAUGCUUCGUUGUGGGAUUUGUUUCAUGUUGGACGGUGUGAAUCUAUGUUGGAUGGGUGUGAAUCUAUGCAACAAUUGAUAACCAAGUUCAUGUCUUUUUUUUCUGUAGCUUAAGGUUAUGUUAGCAUGUGGAUGCUUGGUCAAUAUUGCGUGAUGUGCUAAGUACAAUAGAUAAAUGUCAUUUUCAUGCAAUCAAUGUGGCAUCUCUAAAUGUACAAGGUCCCUUUUGAUGCACGAUUCUUAGUAUUGUGAAUAUUAGAUAUGAAACCUAAGGAUACUUCAGGAGUUAAGGGUGUUAUGAGUAGAAAAUAAUGCUGAAGAAAGUUGAGGAUUUGGAAAUCAGGAAUGUCUCAAAAUUAAAUCUGAUACUGUUUUGCUCACAUGAGACUUAGCAGAUCUGACCUUUUUUUGCCCUGCCUGGGGUUAAAUUAUAGUGCUUAGAAAUCUAUGCUUUUGCACUAGAGUUGUGUAGGAUGUUCGGACCAUUCUUGAUCACUUCCCUAGGUUGAAAAUGCAGAGCUCAGUUGUCCUUGUUUCUAAAUCAGACUACGGUCCGUUGGAUGGUCGAAAAUCAGAUAUCUCUCAUUGAAUUGAUGUAUGUAAGGUUUGGCUGGUCUGUAAGGUUGCGAAAAGUGGAUCACAGCCAAAGCGAGUUGAUCAGUGCCUCACAGACAUAGAGCACAGAAGGAACCUCUGAAAUAUAGUGACUUUGGUCUCGAUGUGAAUGUAAAAGAUGAUUUUCGGCCCUACAAAUAUUUGUCCAAUAAUGGAUGAGACAUGCGUUGAAGAGUUCAUCGAGAGAGGAGAAAGGACUAAGAUGUGUCCAAUUGGCGGGGGUGGCCUUGUCAUAUAUGUUGGGGAAAUCAACUCUUAGGUAGAAUUUAUAGUUCCACGAGACCAGGCUUAACAAAUCUUAGCAGAUGCUAAGUCAGGAAAGGAUAAGGAUAUCUCACAAGGGUAGACCAAGGUCAUCAACUCUAGCGACAUAGGCUAAAAACAUUGUUAGUUUCUAAACAAAUUCCUAGUUUUCCGCAAUGGUUAUUUACAUUGGAGGGAACAGUUAAGGCUUGUAUAAUUGCUAAUUCUACUCGGCUAGUUGGACUUGACACCUUGAAUGAGUGAAAACGAGGUACAGAUAUAAAGAGAUAGAGAUGUAGAAAGUUGAUGAUAGGGACUUCUCUCAUGUUGAAGGUUAAUCUAUGCUUGACAUUUGGUAGAAAAUAAAUUCUUUUUGGAGGUUAGUUAUUUACAGACUAUAUCUUACGUUUUAGCUUAUAAUGGCAUCAAUUGUCAGAUUUGUCAAUUCCUUCAGCUAUCUUCCACAUUGAAAGGUCCAAUUUUGCAUGACUUCACUGUUUAUGCUAUUGACUUAAUUAAAACAUUUAAAGAGCUUUUUUUGUUUAGGGAAGUUAAUAAUCAUGUUUCACCAUAUUUCUUGUAAGCAUUUAGUUUUGUCUGCUCUAUAAAACUUUCAUUAACUUAUGUUCUUCGAAACAUACCAAGUAUUUCUUCUAAUAUGAACUUUUUGCUUCUCAAUCAGGUGGGCAAACAAGCAUCAGGUACUUCAUUUUAUCUCAUCUUAACAAUAAUGAAUGUAAUGUGUCCUGCUAAUUACUUUCUUUCUUUCUUCUCCCCAGAAAUCGGAAAAUAAUAUUUUGGCUUCUCAAGUACUAACUUUCCUAUAGAUAAUAUUCUUCAUUUUCUCGCAAACUAGAUACUAAUCGGGACCUAAACUUUGCAAGUGUAAAAGCUAAAAAACAUGGCUCUUAUAUCUUUGCUACUAGAUUUGAAAGAUGUUCUCCUAGCCUUAGACAUGUUAUUAAUGAGUAUCUUUUCACUGUGAUAAUUCACUUGUACCUACAAGCUACUUGGCAUUUUUCAAAGGUUUGAUGAUUGAAAACCCUUUCAUAUAUCUUACUUCUUAACUAGCUUUGAACCGGUUAGUUGGAAGGAAAUAAUUUUUCCAUUUUCAAUAUCAAAUAUUUUCUCACUAAAAAAUGAUCGAAAAUAAACACCUUCCUGGAGUGAUAUUAGUAGUUUCUGAUUGGAAACUUGAUUAAUUUUACUCGAAUGUUAAUCUCAUGCUACUUGAAUACAUUCUAUUUUAUACAUGAUUGGUUAGAUGGAAAAAUCAAACUUGAUCAUGCAAUUCAUUUACUAAAUUAAGAAAAAUUUAUGGUCUUUUUUGUGAAACAACUUUAUUGCGAACUCUUUAAGAAACUAGUAGUUGAGAAUUUGUCUUAUUGCUGUUUCUCUAGGAAGUAAGUUCUUUUGACUCGGCCAAUUGGGAAAAAAGAAAACAGAAAAGAGAAGACUGUAUCAAACUAGAGUUGCACAAUUCAACUGAGAAAACUAAACCUCAUUGAGAAGUUGCAGAUGGAGAGAUUUGUCAGUUUAACAAGGAGAAGAUAAUAGAUGUACUGAGCUAGUGAUCUUGUUUUAGCUGAUGGGAAUAUGAUAUUCUCAUGAAUCUCUACCGGUAUUUUAACUUGUAAUUUUGUUGUUAAAUAACUUUGUCUUGUUUAAAUUGGACCUCGCAAUCAUCAUAAAUUUGCUUGUCCUGGAACUUUGAUCUGUUGUUUGAGCCGAAGUCAUUUCUGUGAAUGUGCCUUUGCAGGCCAUAUUGGAGAUGCUACUUUCCAAAUACUCAGGCUAUAAUAUAUGUUGUUGAUUCAAGUGAUACCGAGAGGCUGGUAACUGCAAAGGAAGAAUUUCAUGCUAUCUUGGAGGUAUGCAGCACAAUGAUGCUUAUACUUUGUGGUUUCAUCUUUAAGAUGACUUAUGGCGACUAUGGAGAUAAUAUUAAUUUGCUUCAUUCUUGAUGAUGGCCACAUGAAGACAUUGUGCUUGUGAUAGUAUAUGGUCAUAUUGUGUUCGAUGUUGUCAUAAUUUAGGCGCUUGUGACUCCCGGUGUGGAAUGACAUAUGAGAAAAGGGGAAAGAAAGAGAAUUUGCCAUUUUAACUGUUCUUUGGUUAUUCUAAAUAGUUGUCGGUGUUAGUUUGGUUGAUGACUAGUAGGACCUGUCAGUCAGUUGGUAGACCAGCAAAGUUAUUUUCUAACAUUAAUUUUGUUGGAUUAUUGUAGCUUCAUUACCUCAGCUUUUUGUAUUUUUACUUGUUAGUACUUAAUACAUUAACAUAAUUGCUUCUUCUUCUUUUAUUGGCAGGAGGAUGAGCUAAAAGGUGCAGUGGUCCUUGUUUAUGCAAACAAGCAGGUGAAAAGCAAACACUUACGAAUUUAUUAACCUGCUAAAAUUGAAGUUCUCUUUUCAUACUUGUAAAAUUCUGGCACCACAUCAAUUCAUGUACAUCUUACAUUGAAAGGCAGACUUGUCGUUUAUUCUAUAGCAGAUAGGUUUAGACUUUAGACCAUUUAACAUGUGGGUGCUUGAAAACGAAGGACAUGAUUACUUCUGUGCUUAUGAUUGGGCUUAUUUUGAGAUGAUAUAAUGUAAAAUUGUGAUGGAUAAUUCCUUAAAUUGGCAAUGAAGCAAUCCGGAUGGGCGCAAUUUAUAUGAUUUUUUGGCUUAUAUAAAUUUAAGGGUAAAUAAAAUAUUUAAAGGCAAUUGCAAGGACAAAGACUGUUGUUUAAUAGAAAUGAUGGAUAGAAUGGGGGUUGGCCCAUAUCUACUGGAAAUGUUGUAGCAAUCAUUGUGCUGUAUGCAAGAUAACUGUAAGGGUGCCCUCUAUAGGACGUGUGAUAUGCACCCUAGGCUUGUGAUAAAGGAGAAAUAUUGCUGAAUAUCUAAGAUGACUAACCCUAUAAUAAUAAUAUGGUUGUGCGUGCUCUCUUCUCACUCUUAAAUAAGGGACAGCAAGACUAACGUCAUGUCGCUAUGAUAUUUCAAUCCUUGCAUUGGUAAAGGAGUAAUCACUUGAUGUUGUUAAUAGAGAGGGUAUAUAGCUAAUAAGAGCCCUCUUAACUUAUAGUGCAGAGGAAAUUUUCUUCUGUACCUGUGCUGUUACCUAUAGCGUCCAUUACAGGCCUACUGGAAUUUCAUUGGUCGCAUUUAUAUGCUAUGCAAAGUUAUUAUCAAAAAUGUCUUUCACUUCUUAUAUACCAGUACAUAUGAAAUGUGCCACGGUAAUCUGAAAGUGCAAAUUGCAGCUAAUUAUCUAACUUCGGUUUUUCCAUACGAUCGGUACUUGUGCUUUCUUAUGCAGGAUCUCCCUGGUGCACUUGAUGAUGCUGCCAUUACUGAAUCUUUGGAACUUCACAAGAUCAAAAAUCGUCAGUGGGCUAUUUUCAAAACUUCUGCUAUAAAAGGAGAGGGUCUUUUUGAAGGCUUGGAUUGGUAAGUCUUAACUAAAUUUCUUGAUCCAUACAUACUGAAGUUAAGACAAAGGUAAAGGCCUAUUUUUGUUGUGCCACUAUUGAGAAAUAUUUUCUCUGUGAUCGUAUGCUUCUUAACACUUAAGUUUCUGUGAAGAAAAUAAUGAAUCUUUUUUAAGGACAGGCCUUACCUUAUGAAGUUGUUCAAGACUUCAAACGAACAAAUCCUGCUUAAUCCAUCAAAAUACCAUGCAAAGCUCAAGGAUAUGUGACAUAGUUCUAGUAGAACAGAUUUUUUAGCUUGCUUUCCUAUCUAAUGCCAAAGAAAAUACAUCAACUUUGCCUGAAUAAAUUAUCUGUGUCAUAAAGUGACUAUCAUUAUGGACCUCUAAUGAAGGCAUUCAGGAUGGCAUUCACUUUUUUCUUAUACUUUGUCCACAUACUUAUUAACAUAGUAAUCUCUUAACAAAUAUUGAAUCAGUUUCAACUGUGUUUCUGGUUGCAGGCUUAGUAACACACUCAAAUCGGGAGGAAGCUAAUUUCUGAAGCGAGAACAAGAACAAUUUAAUUAAACAUGAGGAUUAGUGGGGGGCAUCCCUCUGGUAAUGAUUCAAAAGAGAUGUUUUUUUUUUUCCUUCUCCUCCAUUGAGUUGACUUUAUAAUUCGAUCUCUCUCUCUCUCUCUCUCUCUCUCUCUCUCUCUCUCUCUCUCUGUAGCCACGGGUAUGCCUUCACUCAGCAACUCUACUUGUAAAAUCCUGGUCAAAAGAUAUGAAUACAGCAUUCUAUUAGGUUUUUUACUGUUUAAGGACAACUUGUGUGGGUUUAUUGAACUUGAUGAGGGCUUACACGUUUAUCUGCUCCGUUGAAUUGCUAUUAUGUUUCUGCAACGAUUGCCAUAUUUAUGUAUUUUUUCUCUUAGUUAAAUAAUAUUGUUUUUGUCCUGUAAUCUGAAGUUUAUGGAUUUAAUGACUCAGAAGAAUAGCCUGGUUGGCACGGGCAGGACGCCGGCGCGAAAGAUAGUAGUAAGAGAUAUCGAAAUUGAUCGUAAUCAGGUACUAUGGGAUGGAAAAUAGAAAAGUGGAUAACAAAUGCGAAGACCUUAUGUUCUUAAUUUAAAUUCGGUUCUGAUUUUUAGUUAUUAGAGAAUACAGAAGAGAAAAGUGGAUAACUAAAGCAAGGAGCUUAUGUUUUUCAUUCAAAUAUGAAUAAAGAGGAGCCAUGUGUAUUUAAUUGAUGAGAUCUAGUUAAAAUCUUACUGUUGUGUCAUGGCCUGUCCACAGUCGAGCAUCCAAAUUAAUUUGUGGACACAAUCACUGGGAUUAUACACUAUACAUAAAAAUAUAUUUAACUAUUUGCCUAGCGAUAAUCUAAAUUGCUCUAAUGUGCUCCAAAAUUUAGUUUCCUGCGCACGUACUAAUGAAAAAUCGAGUGUUCAUCGAUGCGCUUCAAAAAUCAUGUUGUGCAUAUGCAGUUUUUCUGAAGAAUAUUUUUACCACUUAUUAUGUGAAUUCUCCCAUGUGGGUGGCAACUGGAAAAGCACACAAUUUGGCAACUUGAAAUGGUUUUCCUUCACGUGGAAACAGAGUUUGCUUUCCAGGACAAGUCACAAGAAGGGUAGUGGCAAGGAAUGGAAUUCCAACGUGCGCAGCGUAUUAUGACACUGCGCCAUUAAAUCCUUCGCAUGUGGCAAUAACUUUUCUCAGUCAGUAUUGCAUCAAUUGCGUGCUCCCAUGUUACGAUUUCGUCAUGUUUCCGUAAAAGAGCUCGUACACUCCAUGCACGAAUUGCCGACCGGCCCUAGCACGAGUGGUAAAACACUUAAUGAUUGGUAUCCGAAAUUCUAAAUUCGAAUUCUAGUUGAUUCAUAUUUUCACCAUUUAUGAACUAGUGCAUUUAUUCGAAUUUUAUUAACAUGUUGAUAUGAAGUAUUUUUAUUGGAUGCUUCUUGCAACUCUCAAAGACAGAUUUUAUAGAUAAAAUAACAAUAUUUUAGUCAGAAAAAAAAGGGAUAAAAAGAAAGAUAUCAUGUCUGUAUGUAUACAAAAUUGUAAAAUCUAUAUGCAGACAAAGCAUAUUAAUUAUAUUUUUGAUAGAAUGUUACAUAAUCUAGCGGAAUAUCAUGUUACCUGAAAUGCGCCAUGAAAACAACUAGGAACAUUACAAUAUUUGAUAGUAUAAAUAAAAUUUUGAAAUUCAUGGUACAAUCAAGUUUUGCUUUGUAUUGCUUUGUUAGAGGAUUGUACUAAUGUAGAACUGCUGCAACAAUAAGUGGCCUCUGUGUUUCAAUCAAUAACUUCUAACUUACAUAGUUUUAAGGAACGAUUAUAAUAUGAUGGAACCAGCUAGACGCAGUGCUAUAAUUGUAACGUUUUAUUUAGCAUUUAUUGCAUUUCUGAUUCGCCAUUGAGAUAUAUAUCAUUCUACAGAACUUAAAUCUACCCAAUAUAUAUCACGCUGCAUAAUUUUGCAACACAAGCAACAUCUGUAAUUCCACUGAUCUCUCGACGCCUUCUCUUUCUCGUUCAAUUGACUUCACUUCUAAAAAUGUAAGGUUUGUUCUAAAAUAAGUAAGCAAUGAUCAUAAUAAGCCUUUUCCUUAUUAUUCUUGGGCUUAAUCAUUAUUUACCAGAUAUUUGUUCUCUCUUUUCUACACCUCGUUUACAUCAAGUAGUUCUAUGAAUUUUGCUUUGAGUUACCGACUGUCCCUAGCGCAAGUGGCAAAGAGCUUGGUGGUUGGUAUCCGAGUUUUCAAGUUCGAUUCCUAGUUGAUUCACAUUUCCAGCUCGGGUAGCAUACUGCUUUUCUCUCUCAAAAAAAAAAAAAAAAUGCUUUGAGUUAACCCAUGAUGCAUACGUUGUUGGGAAUAGCCAGAUGUUUGCUUAAUUAAGUGAUUAUAGCUAUGUUAGAUUUGUUUGGUUCAAAAUAUUGUCCUAUCCCGAUCUACCGAGAAAUUUAUUAUAUUCUUGCAUGAAGAUAUCAUUUCCUUCUCUUGUAUCUCAAGAACACAACAUGUUUGGAAAAUAUCACUCAAACAGAUACAAACAGAUACUAAAUCAAUGCAACUUUAAAUGUAUUAUUAUUAGGUAACUGGCUUCUCCGUUUGGUAAUUAAACAUGACUUAGACCUAAUCAUGAAAAACACAUGGCUAGCUUUUGGAAGAAGCAAUUACAUUGCCUCCAUAUUAAUGGGAUUGCACUUAACAAUUAAUAACUCUUGCAUGCUGGGCUGGCUAAUAAUAAUAAGAUUUGCAUUUGUAGCAAUACUGGGAAUUUUCCCAAUCAACCAACCAAACAAACUCAUAUAUGGUGUUUGAAAUCCUCCUUACGCUCCGCAGGGCAUCGAUCCGACGUCUGUCUCUAUUUGUUAGACUAGCAUGGAGUUCAAUACCACGCAUGAUCUUGCGAGAGCAAUUUACGUAACAUAGUUUUUAUAUUUCAAUUUAUAAUCUUAAUCUUGUCAUUACGUAAAGUUUUUCCUCAUCUAAUGGAACUGACUACGUGCUUCUUCACAUCUAAAAAAAAAUGAUAAACAGUAUUUCAUUGUAAAUAACUUAGAUGGUAAAAGAUUUGGGUAUCAUCAAUUCUAUAUUUGUGAUGGAAGCACUAAAGUUGCUUGCUUAUUUAGACUUUUCUCCUCAUUUUCAUACUAUCCAUGUGCUCUUCCAUGACGGUACAUCAACAGUAAACACUCGUGCAAAUCAUAUCCGACACGAAGCGUAAGCGAAAUAAUUUACUGUUUAUCAACGAUACGGUUCAAACGCACGCAAUCAUAGAUGUGGCAGGAUUAGAGUGGAAUCGCGAACAUAAUUAAGAACUGUUUUCAUGAACCAGAGUAAAUAAUUAAUUGUCCGAUAGAAUCAGUGAAUAUAAAAUAUGCACGAUUAGAUCAACUGGUGCUUUGGUUCUGCACCCGCGCGAAGCCCAUGAACGGCCCGCGAGUCAACCCGGUGUACAGAAAAAAUCUCGGUGGGAUCAUUGGUGUCUCUACGGUGGUGGUCCCCACGAUGCACCCACACUUCCCGUGCACAUCUCGUUGGUGGGUCCCCCCUCUCACAUGGUUGGCUCCCCGCCACUCCGACCUUUUUUUCCCCCUAAAAACCUCACCUGCAACCUCGUCCGACCGUCCAAUCCCUCGCCUACACGUGUUCAAAUACACGCGUAUUUUAGUCCGGAUAAACUCGUCGUUUCGCGUCGCACCCGCGGGAGACCCGGCGAUCCGCCCCGGCGCAGCUGACGAGUGCACGUUCGUCAUUAGAACGGUGAGUUUACGAAUUUGCCCCUGAAAAGGCCGAACACGGGGGCUCACAUGUGCGCAAUCGAAGGGCAGGAGAGUAAUUUCGACAGCCGACAAGGUACGGGUGUCCACAUCGGACUCGGGUCAAGAUUCCCAAUCGAGGCGCGGUGACACCAGCAAGGGUUGAUAUCGGGUCGAUGGUGAUUAGUUGAUAGGGUCACGGAAAAGGUCACUUUUGGCGGGGAGGGAAUCCUCUACAACCCAAUACAGUAGAAAAUUACUCCGAUCUGGUUACGUGGCGUUUUUUCAUUGGGUAAUGUUGAUCAGAUAUUUGGCUCAAAAUCAACAUCUAGUAAGAGCGCUAAGUAAUAAUCCUACGUUGUUCUUGUGCGUUCUUUUUAUUAUUAUUGUUAUUAUUAUUAGUAUCCUUAUUAAACUUCAGUCUAGUUAAAAAAAAAAAAAGAAGAAAAAAGCGAAGCAAUAUCAACUCUGCUUGAACAUAAUUUAAGAUGUAAGGUAAAUCCGGUGACUGAUCUAACAUGAUUAAACUGUUGGCAUUCGGUUAAAUCGAAUCGGGUACGUCCAUAAGCGGGUUCGAUCCGACGGAUGUUAUGUUAUCUAAUUAGAUUGGAAUUAAUCUCGCUUUCAAAUUGAAAAGUUAGUUAGAAAUAAAUCCUAGUCAUAUUAGGAUAACAAUUAAUAACCGAUUUGGCCUUAUCUCUAACGCUAUUAGGAUUUUGGAAUCCUUUAUAAAUAUGUGGGCGAUCAAUCAUAUCCUCCAUCAACCUAUUAUUCUAACAGGGACUUGAACGGUGGAUUUGUGAUCGUGCUCGUUUGUAGUUCGAUCCAUCGCGAGUUUGGAACGUGAGAAGAUUUAAUCAAGGACGAUCAAAGGACACGUGAAUCAACCUCGACGAUCCAGGUUCAUCGCAUUGUAACGCGAAUCGCUUCCGCAAAAAGAUACGAACGAAUACUUCCGCUGUGUUCCACAUUGAUAUCAGAGCCUUUUUUAGUUGAUUUCGUGGUCUUGAUACAUUCUUUAAUUAGAUUACAUGUGAUAUAUUAAAUCUAUCAUGUUUUAGAUUUUUUCUUGCAUGUAUGUGAGCGUUAAUGGCGGUUUUUUCAUAAAUGGAUAUCUUUGCAUGAUUUUUACACAUCUUAAAGCACCGAAAUUGUAGAUUUAAUCUACAAAGUUUGAUUUGAUAUGGUUUUGUAUUUUAUGAGAAAAAUAAAAUCCUAAAUUGGAUCUUUUGGAGGUGGCUUGUUUGAUGUAUGAUGUAAAUCCCAUUGUGAAACUUGCAUGCUUUGGAAGAGCUCGUCACAAGCUUUCUAUCGGCAUAUUUCUUGCAUGAAUCGGGGUUCUUUAUGAUUUUUUGAAGAUUCGCUAUCUUUAAAAAAAAAAAAAAAUUAUGUGGAACACAGCGAAAGUAUUCGUUUGUACCUUUUUGCGAAAGCAAUUCGCGUUACAAUGCGAUGAACCCGGAUCGUCAAGGUUGAUUCACGUGUCCUUUGAUCGUCCUUAAUUAAAUCUUCUCACGUUCCAAACUCGCGAUAGAUCGAACUACAAACGAGCACGAUUACAAAUCCACCGUUCAAGUCCCUAUUAGAAUAAUAGGUUGAUGGAGGAUGUGAUUUCUCUCUUUUAUUUUCUUAUUCUCUUUUCUUUUUCCGUUCUUUCCGUACAUUACGUUAUGUGGGAUCGCCCGCAUAUUUAUAAGGAAUUCCAAAAUCUUAAUAGCGUUAGAGAUAGGGCCAAAACAAAACGAUUUGUGUUGAUUGCAUCCGACCCGAACUGCCUUAUGGACCGAAUACAUGCCUAGAGGUUUUUUUGACUGGUUAGAUCAAGCUAUUGUCGAGAUUCGCGGAACACUUCAAAGUUAUGAAUCUGAAUCACGAUCGAAUCUAUAAACACUACUAUAACCAACAUUCAAUUUACUCGUCAAAUUUGUUGACCAGCUAAAUCCCUCGAGCACCACUUUACCUUCUUUUUCCUAAAUAUAUAUGGCUUACGUUGGGACGCCCACGUUAUCAGCACGGUUCGAUGUGGAGCAUAAAACUUCCAACCGUAGUUUAUCCGGAGCAAGUUGUGAGAUCUCUUCGGUCCGAUACCCACCCUAUACCUGCUUCAUUUUAUUUAACGCUUGCAGAGUGUAUGCUUCGGGCGCACAAAUACGGCAACGGUUUCAAGAAACAAGACCAGACGGGGCAUUCUCUAAAUAGGUCGAAAGAAUAGUCUUAGCAUUACUAUGCAUGUAAACAGUAAUUAUCGUAAAGCCAAGUGAAGAACUAAUUAAAUUAGAGGGUUCAGGAUUCCUUUUAUGACGUAUUACCAGAAAUUAAGAUCAAGUGACAAGACAGAAGCCAAUGUUGACAAAAUGAGGAUGACUCUUCAAACCCAAGUGGAAACCAGUGCACCGAAGAAAGAUGAUAGGACCCAAUCAAGAAUCAGUAAUCACUACUUUAUGGGAAAAGAAAAACUGCAAAAGAAGACUAUGUAUCUGUCCUUUUCUAGCUUUAUCUUCGAUAAUUAGAUGUACAAAUUAAAUAAGUUGGGAAAUAAGUUUAACACCACCAUCCAAACUACAUACUUUCCAGUGCUUGAAAACUUAUCACGAGUAAACCACUUUAAUUCGUUUUGGCUUUUCCAACUUUCAACUCUCUUUUUGUUACUUUUGUGUCAUUUAACAUUUUCGAUCCAUAAAACUUUGUUUUAAAAGAAAAUCAAGUCAUCCCAAGAAAACAAAACAAACGUCUUGACACAAAAGCGUUUUGGUCUACAAAAUGUAACAAAAUUUCAGAUUCAAAAAUCUAUUUUCUUUUCUAGCUAUUGCAUGGAGGCAUACUUAAUUUUUAGUUCAAGUGGAAAUAUUAAUCUAAAGUACUAUCGACAUGAAUGAUAUAGCAGAUACAAAAUUGCAAUGUAAAUAAAACAAAAAAAAAUUAGCAACUUAUUUUGAGCCUUUAAUUUUCAUUUUGUUAAGUAAUACGAAAUAACCGUUAUUCUCUAAAAGCUUAAGUUAAUAGAGAAUGGUGUUUAAAUAUUUUUAUAUUUAACACUGUCCCUCAUGUCUGGACUCAAAACUUUUUAUUAGAUCCAUAACGUCGAUUUGAAUUAAAAAGGAGAAAAUUAAUAAUGUAGAAGUCUGACAUGACUUAAGCUCAAGACGUCGGGCUCUGAUUUGAUGUUAAAAAUACAAAACAACUGCUGUACUCUUAAAACUUAAGCUAGUAAAGAACGAUUUUAAAUAUUUUUAUAUUUAAUACAUUUUGUUGAAGUAACAUUCUUUGACACCCCACCGCCCCGGCCGCGGCACCCCCACUUUUCUCCAAAUUUUGCCGCGGUCGCACGAAAAGAGAACUGAGGCAGACGCUCUUCGGCCUACUAUACCUACUACAGCGUUGCCUAAUUAAUAAGUGUUGCUCAAUUUGACAUUCAAAUAGCAUUUUAGCAAAAUCUCCUAAAAUGGUCACGUUAAGAAUAUUAAGUACGUAAUACCAAUUUUAAAUAUAACUUAAUAUAUAUUUUGUAUAUGAUGUAAAAGAUUUUUCUAUAUACUAGUUUAAGUUUUUGGGCUGAAUCCGAUAUCUUUAAAGGUUUCAAUUUUUGAGUGUACUGCUUUUUGAUGCCAUUUAAGUAGCCGCACUGCAGUAAAAUCUCUACAAAUAGAAGAUUUUAGAAUCUUUAUAUCAACUUUCACAUGAUAUUUUUUUGUCAAUUAUUUACUAAAUAUGGCUCCAGGUGGAAAGCAAAAGCAAAAGCAAAAGCAUUUAUUAGUUAUCUUGAACUAAUUUUGUUUUCACUCUCAAUUGGGUAGUAUUUUAAAAUCUUAAUCAGGAAAUGCUUGCUAUGUACUUCCUGAUAAUAAAAUUAUUAUAAAAAUUAAAUUAAAUUGGUGUGUAAGUUAAAGGCUAAAUUGCAUGGCUAGUCCUUCAACUUUUGUUAAGUAUAGUUCCAACACGAAAUUGUAAAAAAAAAAAAAAAGUGAAUCCAUUAUAUUAUAACAAAAUUAGAACUUUUUGCUUAGAAAUAACAUUGGCAUAUAAUAACAAGUUCAGAUACCCAAGAAAUCAAAGGCUGCUCUAGUAUUCUACUCAACACUAUUUUUUAACUAAGAUAGAUUUUUUUGUUUGGCUAAAUUAAACUUUUGGUUCUUAAAACUAUAAGGUAUGUGACACUUUGAUCUCUAAUUUUAAAUUAUUGUAAUUUAUGGCUCGAAUUUUUUUAUAAUUAAUUCCCACAAACUAUUUAGUUAAUGAAAUAUUAAUGUGUUACUAAUAUAAAAGUAAUACAGUAGUAUUAAUGUGUCACUUUUGAAUGUACUACUAGCAUUAUUUCAAGAAAAUUGUGUCACUUUUGGUUGGACCACUAGCAUUAUUUUAAAAUGAGUGUAUACCUUACGCUCAAUCUAUCUCCAAAAAAAAAAAAAAUUACUAGUCACAUCAAUAUAAUUUAUACUUAAUUUUAAAUACUACUAGCAUUAGUUUCUUUUAUUUUAAUUAUACUCUCUUUAUUAUUAUAUUAUAUAUAACGUGCGCUUCAAAAAAAUAGUGGCUAAAUGGAAUAGUACAGUGACUAAUGUUACUUAUCACACCUUUUAACCUAACAAAAAUCUCAAGUUGGGUUUGUGUUUUUUCGUUUUACUAUUUUUUGUCCCCUAACUUUAUUUCUCAAAAAUCCCAUAAUAAGCACUAAAACACUUGAGAACAAUCACUAAAACACUGUAAAAACCCCUUUGAUCUCGUGAUGAUGAGGUGAAGCGAGAGACAAACCAAUGCCACGAGCAGAUACUGUGGUGAGAGCGAACGGGGCCCACCAUUAUUCGCGUUUCCGCUUCGCCAAAAGCCAACCCUAGCUACUCUCCCCCCACCACAAAUAAUGCAUGCACUCGGCACACCGUGCACCGUACGCAUAUUUUAAUAAUAAUUUCAAUUUCUAGAAGUUAAAAUAUAAAUUUGAACAAUUUGUUAUCUUUGAUUUUCUAAACUUUGCCUAUGCAAAUUAGAUGGAGAAACAUUUUAAAUAUUUUACAAAAAUAUUUUAUUUGAUACAUUUAUUAUCUCUGUUUUUUAAAAAACUUAUUAAUGCUUAAUGCAAAUUAAACUGUCAUACUUACAAACAAACUUAAGAUCCUAUUUUAUUACAUGAAUAUUAAAAAAAUUUUAGAUACAUUUUUAAUAAUAUUUAAUAGAUGAGAAAUGCGAUUAAAUAUUAAAAUAUAUAAUAUCAUAUGAAUUAUUUUUUAGAUAAAAUAUAUUGUUCUACCAAAUUAUAAAUGUUAAAAUCUAUUAAAGAGAAAAAAUAAACUCUUCACUUUCAAUUACCCAACUAUGAAAUAAUGUAUUUAAACAUCUAUAUGAGGUUAAACAAAUCACUCAAUCAAAUUUUUUGAGCAUCCUACUUAAUAUUGUAAGGAAAAUAUUAUAUUUUUUAUUAUAAGCAUUAAGCAUAGCAAAAAUCGUACUCAACCUGUAAAAAAUAGGUGGUAAUUUUUAAUACAUAGGAAUCUUUAAUAUCAUUUUACAUUAAUUAUAAAUGUCAGAUUUUAAAGCUUUUUAUUAUACAUAUAAUUCAAUAUAAUGAGUAUGUGGUGUACUGUGAACCGGGUUCACGCGACAGCUUCGUCCUUCCUACGGCCUACCCUCACUACAUAUCCCGUGGUGGGCCCUACGUCGGCACAGACCAAAAGGACAGCUUUCCCCCAAUGACAGAUCCGCAAUAUCGCAAUAUCGCAAUAUCCCAAUAUUUCCCCCACACCCCCCCCUAAACACCCCUUCACUACUAACUAAUUAUUAUUUUACGUGGCCUGCAGCGGUCCACGUGUCCCUCCGGCCUCGUCACCAACCUCAUCUUUUUUAGCUCUACCCCCGCUUCGACCUUUCUCCCUUCAAUCCUCCUCCCAUUCAUUCCUUCUCCUCCCCCACCCCCCCAAUCCCACUCCGCCAUCUCACACACACACACCUGGGCGCGCGCACGCAAGGAGGAAAAAGAGAAGGAAAAAAAAAUCACUCGUAAAAAAAGAAAAAAGAAAAAAGAAAAUCUGAGGGAGAGAGAGAGAGAGAGAGAGAGGGGAUGGAACCUGGUGGCGAGGGAAGGAAGUACAACAAGUACUGGGGGUUGGAGGGGGGGAGGAGGUGCGACGGGUGCAAGGGGGCGGCGGCGGUGCUGUACUGCAGGGCGGACGCGGCGUACCUGUGUGGGAGGUGCGACGCGGGGGUGCACGGGGCCAACAAGCUGGCGUCGCGGCACGAGCGGGUGUGGGUGUGCGAGGUGUGCGAGCAGGCGCCCGCCAGCGUCACCUGNCUGUGCGGGAGGUGCGACGCGGGGGUGCACGGGGCCAACAAGCUGGCGUCGCGGCACGAGCGGGUGUGGGUGUGCGAGGUGUGCGAGCAGGCGCCCGCCAGCGUCACCUGCAAGGCCGACGCCGCCGCCCUCUGCGUCGCCUGCGACGCCGACAUCCACUCCGCCAACCCCCUCGCCCGCCGCCACGACCGCGCCCCCGUCGUCCCCCUCCUCGACCCCCUCCCCCCCUCCGCCUACGCCGCCGCCGCCGCCGCGCACGACAUCCUCCUCAGGGGCGCCGACGAUUGCGACGACGAUCUCGCCGACGACGACGCCGACGACGACGAGCAGCUCGGGGCCGCCGGGGAGGACAACGGGAACGAGGCGGAGGCGGCGUCGUGGCUCCUCCCCAACCCUGGCCCUAUCCCUAAUAACCCCAACCCCAACCCUAAUCCGUGCGGCGGCGGCGGCGGCGGCAUCAUCAAGGGGUUGAUGGAGGCGCCGGAGAUCAAAUCGGUGGAGUUCUUCCUCUCGGACGUGGAUCGCUACCUCGACCUCGAGUACGCGUCCUCCGUGGACGCGCGCUUCCACCACGCGGACAGCGUCGUCCCCGUCCACGCCAGCGGAGGGAGCAGCGGGGCGAUCGAGCUCGACUUCGCCCGAUCCAAGCCCUCCUACGCCACCUACCCCGCCCAAUCCCUGAGCCACAGCGUAAUAAUUAUAACCCCCUAAAUCCGCACCUGAUUCGCUAUAUCUCUGCCCCGUUUCCCUAACCAUCAUUCUCGAUCGAAUCGCGCGCAGGUGUCGUCGUCGGAGGUCGGGGUGGUGCCGGACGGGAGCAGCAUCCGCCUCCGCCUCCGCCGUGGGGUUCGUCGUCGACCCCGGCUACGGCGUCGUCCCCUCCUUUUGAGAUCCCCAUACCCUCGCUCCGAUCCCCCUCCUCGCAGUUCCUAUUUGUACGCCAUCUUGUGUUUGAAUUUGAAUUUUGGCUCCCUCUCUCUCUCCCCCCUUCCCCACUCUCUCUCUCUCUCUCUCUCUCUCUCCGUGUAGUGCUCUCUUAAUUUUGGUGUAUAUUAUUUUCCUAUUCGCCUAUAAGUUACCCUUUACGCUUUACGGUGAACUUUUUCUCUGUUCUCUACGCUCUCUCUUUUUUUUGGGGGGUUUGGUGCGCUCGCGCGCCCCCCCUUGUAUGGAGGAAUUGGAGAAAAGAGAUUUGCUUUCGUUUUCUAACAACGUUUUAGAGAAUGAUAUUUGAAUAUUAUAUUUUAGCCCCUCUCCUUUUAUCCUUUGGUUGGAGAUUUUGAUACUCAAAAAGACAUGCAAGCACAAGAAAAAAGUGUACUUCUACAACUUUAAAUCUAAUUUUUAAACGAUAUUGAGGGAAUUUUGUGAUUUUAAAAGUGUGCAUGGAUGGACUUGAUUCCCUUUUUCUAUUCCGAGUAAUUGGGAGAAGAAUACAACGACCUUCUUUGGAAAUUAGAAAUAUAGUUUUCUAAUAUUAUAUUUUGUCACUAUUUAAAAAUUUGAAGGACAUAAUUGCAAGAACUUCAGUGCCAGGUGAUUAAAAAUUGUUUUACUUCUGCAAAUUUUGUUGCUACAAGAACUUCUAAAAUAGAAAUUCGUAUUUUCUGACAUGGCAUUUUUGCCGUUGGAUUUUACUCCGCACGAAUAUUAAGGUCUUGCAAAGUAAAAUUGAACAUAAAAUGAUUGGGAAAGCCGAGGCCUAAAGAGGCUCGUCUCAUAAUCUUUUUUCUAAGUAUUUUCAUGAUUCUUUCUAUCUCAUAAUCACAGUUUAAAAAUGUUAAGACUAGUUCUGAAUUAUUUUUACUUAAAUUAUUCUUUUAAAUAACAUAGCAUUAGAUGCAAUUUAAAGUUUCAUUUAUUUUUGGAGGUCUCGAGUUCGAACUAAAAGGUCAUUUCGUUUGGGUAUAGUAUAUGGCAUCUUAAACUGUUCUGUUUUUGAGGGCAUCACAGUUUUAAUAGUGAAUUUAACCUCAAUUGACAAUAGUCAAUUAUUAAGGAUUUUUUAACAAUUUGGAACUUUGUAGAAAUAUAUUGAACCUUACCAGAGUCAAUAAUUUUUAAAACUUUACAUUAAAUAUUUGUGUAUUUAGUUCAAAAAAAUUGUAACAUGAAAGUACUUAUCGCAAAAUUUUAUAUAGAUUACUGAAAAUUGAAGUCCAAAUUUAAGUUUAAUAACUAAAUUGUAAUAAAUUAGAAUUUAAUAACUUAACUGAAGCUUCGCCAUGUAUAAUAAGUCUUGUGAUUCGUCAAUAAUGUAUCCAUUGUAACUUAGUAUUUGUAGUUUUGGUAUUCCACUAUAAGCCCCAUUCUACUUUGGCAUUACAAUCAUGGAUACUGAUGUUCAUUAACUAGGAAUAUUCAAAUAAGAUAAUGACCCUUCAUUUAAGUUCUUAUUCCUGGGCUCUACUGAAAUUUUUGUAGGCCCAAAACAAUUCACUUAGGUGAUUUCGCAACAACCAAUGGGCUAUUACUGGCCCUUGUAUGCCUAUCGAAAUCGAAAAUCAUAAUAAAUCUAAUUGAAAGAACUUAGAACUUAAAAGUUCAACUUCUAAAAGACUCCUUUGAUACUCAAAAAGCAAAUUUUGAGGCCUCAACCUAUGUAGAGAAAUCAAAACCUCUGAUCUCUCUGGUGUAUUUUACAUAGAUUACAAGCAGCAAACACCAUCAACACUGUACCCUUACAGCUCAAGAAAAAAAAAAUUAAAAAUUUUUUUUUUUGCCAAAACCUAAUAAACCAUCAUGAACAAAAACCACCUAAAACCCAAAAACAAAAACUGAGAUUCAAAUUUGGAGAUUAGUAGGGACAGUAACAAUCAGUAACCACACUGCAAUCAUCCAUCUCAUCAAUAUCAUGCUCAAGCAUCUUCCAUCUCUCUGUUGCCCCCAAUCCAUUGCAAUCUGAUAGAAGCUCUAAUACCUGAGAGUUUCACAUAAUCAAAAGCGAGAAACUAAUGGAAACUUUUCACAAUAGCGGGACCGUCGUCGGCACAUUGCAGCAUGGGCCUCAUCAAUCUUUCAGUUUUAAAAGUUGGUUCAUAAAUCAUAAUCAUAUUUGCCUUGCAAAAUUAGUCAUUUUAUUAAAUUUCUCUAUUGAAAUGGACAAAAAUUUAGUCAAGUAAUUGCCUUGUAGUUAAAAAGACUAAAUUUUUGCAAAUUGAAGGAUUGAGGACCACACUGAAACUUGGCUACAAAAUUGAGGACCCCUUUGACAAUCCAACCUAUCAUAAUUUAUGCACACUUGUCUUUAUAUCUUGAGUACAUUAUGGACAACUCACCAGUUCUGAAACAUAUGUAAUAUGAUAAGAUGUACUUUUAUGUUUACAGGUACAUAUGCGGUAAUGUUUCAUUUUCUGGUGCUUUCCUAUCAAAUUUCUAAAUGAUUAACAGUGAAUAAAUACAUAACACAAGAUGAUUCACCUCGGUCAUGGAUGGGCGCCAAAUUGACGGUUGUCGGAUGCAGUAAGAUGCAGUGAGCACUAAUCUCUGCAGCUGGUGCUUGUCAUACUCUCCACCAAGCUUUGAGUCAACCAAUUCAGUAACUUUCCCUGCCUCUAGUAAUGGCUUGGCCUAGUUUUUUUUCAAAAAAAAAAUAGAAGGAAGAAUAAUUGAUUACCAUCUUAAAGUUUAGGGAAUAAUUAGAUUGGAUUUUAGUUCAAUUAGACUUACCCACUGAAGCAAACUUUGCUUCGAGGAAUCGACGGGCCUUCUUCCUGUAACAAUCUCCAAUAACAGCACCCCAAAGGCAAAAACAUCGGUUUUCUCGUCGACGAUUCCAUGCAUGAAGUACUCCGGUGCCAAGUACCUGUUCAAUAUUUGCAACAUGAUUCUUUUUUCAUAAAUUCACAUUACAUGUAAUCAUGACUAGAAGUCCAUUAAAAUGGUUUAUGCUAAUAUAAAAUAGAUAAUGUAGAUGAGGUUACUAUCAUUAUAGUUAAGUUUCCAUUUACUGCAGUAGUUUCGAUUUAAACUUACCCAAAAGUUCCCUCUAUUGGAAUGACAGAGUGGUGAGUCCAUUGCUUCGGGAGCCAUUUGGCUAAUCCAAAAUCUGAAAUCUAUAAUCGCAAUAAUUUAAACAACCUUUCCUCCAAAAAAAAAAAAAAAUACAGAAGAGAAUUGUAUGGUAUAAUUUUAGUCCAAACCUGAGGUUCAAAGUCUUCUGUAAGAAGNAGCCUUGAUGUCGCGAUGGAUGAUUCGGUGCCUGCAACACUUGUGCAGGUAAUGCAAGCCUCUAGCAAUCCCCACUGCAAUCCUGUAUCUCACAGGCCACUCCAGAAGCUUGCUACUUUUCCCUACAAAGUAUUUUACAAUCCUCUUUUAAAACUUGAUAUAAAAUGUAAAAUAGAGGUGUCUUAAUAUACACUGCAAAAUUAUCUUCUAUACAUUUAUAUCCGCGCAAAAUUUCCUUUUGAAAAACUUUUUCUGAGACAAAACUAUGCAAGGUUGAGUGGUGUAUGUAGAUGAAAAUUCAGAUCUUAGAUGUGAGUAGAUGAUAUGUUUACAAAAUCUCAGUGAAAAGAAAAGGAAAGAGCUAAUGCUUACCAUGCAAAGCUGAUGCUAGGGUUCCACUAGGGCAAAAAUCAAAUAUGAGAUGGAGCCCAUUCUCAAUGCAACAGCCAAUAAGAUAAGCUGUGUUUGGAUGGCACACAUGGCCAAGUAUUCCAAGCUCUAUGAGAAACUCUUUCUCCUUUUGCUCAUUAGUAAUUCCCUUAGCCAAUCUCUUAACUGCUACACAUUGACCAUCAGAAAGAGCCCCUUUAUAUACCUCUGCAUAUCCUCCUCUCCCCACCAUAUUAUCUAAUCACAAAACAUAAAUAAUAUAUAUAUAUAGAAGAUGUAAUUAAGUAACGAAAUAUUUGGUGGAUGUGUGAGGGACUAAUAAUUUAACGCAUUUUAAGUUUCUGACCUGGGUGGAAGUUGUUAGUUGCAGUUGAAAUCUCCUCAUAGCUGAAACACCUCCACAGAGGCUUCUGAUCUUCAGUGCAGGUUGAAAAAACAUCACUAUCUUUUCCAAUUAAGUCCUCGCUCGAUCGAAAGAAGGGAAAGAUUAUCUUAAAGAACGACGAGCUCCUCCAAAUUUUCGUAUGGGUACAUGCGCCAGUCUCGUAGCUAGAUAGACUAGAGCAAUCCUCAAGAAUCUGUUUAUUACUCUCUGGCUCAUCUAACACUGUUCUUGGUGAACUCUUCUCACUGAUCAGUUCACUUUUAAACUGCAUUUUCUCUCUCCUUGUGUGUGCCUUAAAAAGCUUAUAUAUAGAGAGAAAAGAUUUACCCAAAUUGGUAUCCUUUUUAGCCCUUCUUGAGCUUGCAAAGUGCCUACCUGUGAUAGGUUAAUGUAAAUAUUUUUAAGUACUCGAAUGAUAAUUUACCUCGGUGAAGUGAAUAUACUCUCACCUUCAUUUUCAUGUGUUUCUGACUCCAAUUGAGGUCCAUUUUUCGGUAGAACUUGUUUUCUUAUCGCGAUUACGGAGCAACCUUUGGGAGCAUAUGUGAAGCAGUGAUUCAUAAUUCCAAAGGAGUUCCUAAAAUUGUAACAAAGUGUAAGGAGACACUCCGAAUUGCCAAUAUUUAGGAUUUAAAUUAUCUAUGAAAUUAAAAAAAAUGUAUAUAUAUAUCCUAAUUACUCACUUGUGAGAUGAUUUUCUCGAGUUGCCGACAAGAAGGUAGUUAGCCUCAGUAAGAGCAGCUUCAUCGGUGAGGCCUCUUCCAAUGCUAGAACUUGUCCUAAUCUUUGCUUCUAACUUCACCUAAAAAUGUUCAAAAAUAAUACAACAUAUAUAACAACCUAAUAAACAUAUUAUGUUGAGCCCAAUUUGGAAGCACUUCUUGAACCAUAUCUAUUUUACCUGCUUAGUUUCGCAGGUCUCGACGAAUUCUCCGAGCAUAGAAAUAACGAAGGCCCUGGCGUGUCGCAAUCUACUCUUGUGAUCAGAAUUAAGCUUCUGUUCCUUCUCCACUGACAUGGCCAUUAAUGCGUAGAUAAUUCAGUUAAAAUUACGUACGCGACGACUCAGUGCAUUCAAAAACUUAGCUAAGGAUUUGAUUGCUUAAUCUUAUUGAUCCUACGAUUCUCAAUGGCUUAGUUGGCCACUUAAUUAAUUGUCGUGCGCUUAAUUCUUACCAACUUCAGGUCAACAAAGUGUUACAUUUUGAACCAUAAGAUAUCACAUAAAUCAGGUUCUGCAUAAGGGAGUACAUAAACUUUUUCCCUUCAACUUAUCUACCUUAAAUUCAACACCAAGCAAGGACCUACAAAAGUAGAUUAUGUACUAACCUAGAACAUGCAAAGCGACGACAGUGUCGUUCGGAUGCGCCGCCACUCCGAUGGCCCACGACAGAAGCUCUGCACACUCUUUAGCAUCAAGAGUCACACCAACAAGUAUUCUUGAGCUCAUAGCACACUCCUCUAUAGCAUCCAUUUUGUUCAGAAGCAAAGAAUAAUCAAUCUACAAGGUUCCUUGCUUCCUCUCAGCUCACAAUGAAGGAUGGCGACACUCGCGACGAUCGAAUUUGUAGGCGAAUGCAUGGAUAGAGAUAGGUAAAAAGUUGUGUGCUGUGGAGGCCACCAUUUGCUGUCAUUGUAAACUGGCUUGCUUAUGAAGCAUAGCAUCAUAGGACUACACAUAGAUAGGAUAUGAAUUACAUGGCUAAUGUAUGUAGAUAGAGGGGGUGAUAUGAAUAUGUGAUUUUGUCAUUACAACUUUGGGCUAGAGUGAGGAUAAUGGAGGUUGGUAGAGGAGGUGGUUUGGGGUGGAAGCAAAGUUUGUGGAGAUUGAUUUUGGCUUGGUGGUGAAGCCAAAGCAUGUGGUCUAGGAGGUGAUGAUUUAAGGCUCAUUAAGAGAUGUAGUUAGUGGUUAAGUCAUUAGGCUACUUAAGUUAAUCUGUUUUAAAGAGAAAUGAGAUUAAGCUGAAGAAAUGUUGGUGAUAGAUGGUAAAGGAAAAGCUAAGGGAGCAAAGAGGAUUUGGGAAAGGAGAGUACUAAUAAUGGUUCAGUGUGUGUGCUCUCAGUGACAAAUGAUCAGUGGACUAGUGUGCAAUGGUGGGUCCAAAUUGUUUCUUUUUACUACUAAAAUGGCCAAUUAUUUGAAGGCCCUUACUUAUAAAGGUGACCAGGAGAAUCAUUAAGUUAUAGAAGUGUGUUGUUGCGUUUUGUUAGAAACUAUUCUCAAACUGUUUCUUAUUAGAUUGAUAUGGACGGAUGUACAAACGUAACACCGCGUAAAAAGUUGAGCCAAACAGAUACUAAAAUUGUGAGAUACGCUCGCACCGAGAUAGGCCGACUCUGGCAACUUGUAAAAGUUUGGGCCAGACCACAGCCCACAUGGGUUUAAAAGGGUCGGCAUUACGAGCCGGAUUGUUGGGAGUAAAUUGGGCUCAAUACGACACACAAACAUCGCGAAAACCCGGCAAUUUGGGCUAAGAUCUGGCCAAGCAAAGUCCGAAUCAAAUGUAUAGCCUUAGUCGAUAGGCCCGGGCCAAGCUCAGGAGUAAAACAACUCGAUGCAAAUUCAUAGAUCAUCUUAAUGCUACAUACAUAAAAUAAUCAAAACCUUUCAUAUUGUGAGUCCCUGCACAUCAAAUAACUUAAUAAAUCUCAUUAUGUACAUACAUGCAUAUAAAUUUGUACCAUAAGGUUCUGUUCGGUUCCUUGAAAAAUAAUAAAAAAUUAUUUUUUGAAGAAAAAAAUUUUUGGUGGAAAACUUUUUUUUAUUUCUGUUGUUUGGUUCGAUAGAAAAGAAAAUUAAUUUUUUUAUAUGCAUAUUUGAUUGAGAAAGAAAGAAAAUAGACUUUCAUUUUUAUUUCACUUAUUUGGUUAGUUGAAAAUUUUGGUACAUAAACACUUUCUCCAAAAAGAUGAUGAAAUUACCUAUCUUUUAAAAUUUAACAAUAUAUAUAUUCACAAACUCUUUACAAUAUAAAUAAUAAAUAAUUAAAUAAAAAUAAUUUAACUAUAUUUUGGUACAGAUAAUAUAAUUUGACAAACGAGUUGGAGAUGAUGAAGAUGAUUGAUAAGAGAUAGAGAUGGUUCUUCUCUGUGUGUGUGUGUAUAUAUAGUUUGGAAAUAGAGAGAUUAAGGUAGAAAAUGAUGGAAAUAACAGAUUGGGUGGUAAACAAUUAAACAUACCUCAAAACGUUCAUGAGAAAAAAAUAUAUAUUUUUCUAAAAAAAUUGAAAAGCAAAAAAAACGUAAAAUAUGAUAAAUAAUUUUUCAAAAAAAUUAUUUUUUUUGCAAAUAAAAAAUAUAAAAAAAAGUUUCCUGUGAUAUUUUUUAAGAAACCAAACAGAUCCUAAAAGACGGUGUAAUCAAUCAUCAAUCAUUUAAUAUUAUUUUGAGGGGAACUUUAUUUUUCUUAUGCCCAUGGAUUUGCACCUAAUAUGCUCUUUUUAGACUUAGUUUGGUAUUGAGCUCUAUCUAACGCUAUUAGAUAAAAUGGAGUUGAAAAAAAAACAUAUAGGGAUAUGUUUCUGCGUUUUUCGGGGGGACCGUAGAAAAUAUAUAUCGUAACUGACUGAUCGCGAUAUGCAGAAGACAAUAUUACGUAUAAAAAUAAAUAGAGUAUUUUUCAACAUACUUUCUCACCGUACGUAGCGUAAUCUUCUCGUAAUUCCAAACGAAGUCUUAAACUCUUUACAUUUACAUUGGGCUGUGACACGUGUGAGAGAAACAACCCACGGGGUCGACACGGGUUCCGCGUCCGAAGCAGUGGAUCUAAACUAGAAGCCGAACACACCACCAUCGAAUAUUCCCGAUUAUUAUUAUUAUAUUAUUAUUAUGACGCCGUUACGCGGUGUGACGGCGUCCCCUCGCCGCGCCCCAUCCCGCUGUAACGGCGCCGCGUCUCCACCUGUCCCCACCCCCACCAAUCAAAACACUCCACGUGGGAUCCAAGUAAGUACGUACCCCUUCGUACUACGUAGCUCGGCGAAAAUGGGUGUUGGAACGUCGUAUUCUCACCUGUUUUUUCUUUUUUUCCCCCUUUCUUUUUUUACGAUUAAUAUAUCAAUUUUGUAAAGUGUUAUGUUAUUUACCUUAAAAAAAAAUUAAGGCCUAAUUUAAAAUUGCAGGAUUUGAACAAACUUAAUUUCAUGAUCAUCGCAGUGGGAAUUUGUUAAUUUGAUAGUUCUCUUCUAAUCCUAUAAACAAGUGGUUCACGAUCACCAUCAUUUGAUCAUUAAAGAAAAAUUUUAAGGUACUUUAAUUCUUUUAAAAAAAAUUUCAAGUAUGUAAAUUUUAGCAGGGUCACUCUAAACUAGAGGUAACAAUUCUAAUUUACGGCCUCAAAUUACAUUUCUCAUUGUUAAAUUAAAAGCUCAGGUGUGUUUGGAUAUCUUAUAAUUUUUUUUUUUUGCGAAAAAAGAAUUCCAGCAUUACAACAACAAAUAAAUUCAACAACUAGAGGUUUGAGCUCUUUUUUAGUUUUACAACAAAUUCACGGUAUUUUUGAGGUAUUGCUGUUGUUUUUUGAUACUCUGAAAAAAAAAAAAAAAAGCAAAAACUCUUUGUAAAUAUAAAGAUUGUUUUUUUAUAAAAUGAUUUUUUUUUUCAAAACUACAAAAUUACACGACAUCCAAACACACUCUCAACUGUUGUAAAAAAGAAAAAAAUCAGAAAGUUUAAGGUUUAAAAGCAAAAUCAAGACACAAAAAAAUCCUAAUACUCGUUCCUAAGUAAAAUUACGGCUCUUUUCCACUAAUUAAGAUAAAAUUUUANGAGUAAGUACGUACCCCUUCGUACAACGUAGCUCGGCGAAAAUGGGUGUUGGAACGUCGUAUUCUCACCUGUUUUUUCUUUUUUUUCCCCCUUCUUUUUUUACGAUUAAUAUAUCAAUUUUGUAAAGUGUUAUGUUAUUUACCUUAAAAAAAAAUUAAGGCCUAAUUUAAAAUUUGCAGGAUUUGAACAAACUUAAUUUCAUGAUCAUCGCAAUGGGAAUUUGUUAAUUUGAUAGUUCUCUUCUAAUCCUAUAAACAAGUGGUUCACGAUCACCACCAUUUUAUCAUUAAAGGAAAAUUUUAAAGUACUUUAUUCUUUUAAAGAAAAUUUCAAGUAUGUAAAUUUUAGCAGGGUCACUCUAAACUAGAGGUAACAAUUCUAAUUUACGGCCUCAAAUUACAUUUCUCAUUGUUAAAUUAAAAGCUCAGGUGUGUUUGGAUAUCUUAUAAUUUUUUUUUUGCGAAAAAAGAAUUCCAGCAUAAAUUCAACAACUAGAGGUUUGAUCUCUUUUAGUUUUACAACAAAUUCACGGUAUUUUUGAGGUAUUGCUGUUGUUUUUUGAUACUCUGGAAAAAAAAAAGGUGCAAACACUCUUUGUAAAUAUAAAGAUUGUUUUUUUUAUAAAAUGAUUUUUUUUUUCAAAACUACAAAAUUAUACGACAUCCAAACACACUCUCAACUGUUGUAAAAAAGAAAAAAAUCAGAAAGUUUAAGGUUUAAAAACAAAAAUCAAGACACAAAAAAAAUCCUAAUACUCGUUCCUAAGUAAAAUUACGGCUCUUUUCCACUAAUUAAGAUAAAAUUUUAAUUAUAUUUUACAGGAUAAAUGAGUUACCAAAUAACCAAGCUCGAAUACAAUUACGCGUUAUCCAGCUAAGAGCUGGGAAAUUGAAAUAAGAAACCAUAAAAUUCAUAGAGGAUUAAUUUCAUUGCUUGUAAUGAGAAUACACGAACAUGAAAAUGUUAAAAUCCAUUCAAAAACAUUUACACAAUAAUAUACCCCAAAAACUGGUGGGAUCACAACACAUAACAUUUUCAUUUGUGCAAAAAAAAAAGAAAUACAAUUGUUGAGCACAUUCGCAUGCAUACACUUAGAAUUUACGGGCUAAAAUUAUACUUCAUUUCUCCCGAUUGUAGGUAAAACUAUGGAAAAAAAAAAAAAAAACACUGAUUGAUGCUCAACUUAGCAUCACUUAUAAAGCCUAAGGUGAAUAAGUGGUAUCAAGUAGGAAAGUAACCUUCACAUAGUAAAUCUACUAGCAGGAUUNUUUUCAUUUGUGCAAAAAAAAAGAAAUACAAUUGUUGAGCACAUUCGCAUGCACACACUUAGAAUUUACGGGCUAAAAUUAUACUUCAAAAUUUCCACUGGAUGAUAGAAAAAGAAGGACCCAAAAAAAAAAAAGAAGAAGAAAAGCAGCAGCCUCACUUCUCUCCGUUCGGAUUCUGAACGUGCCCGUGGUUCCGGCUUCGUUCACUCACUCUCGGCCCCCCGGUGUGGUUACCGCACCCUCGUCGCCGCCACCACCGCCACCCUGCAUGGGCACGUCCACGGCGCGGCCACGCAUCGGCAUGGCGAUGAACGUGGGCUUGUCGUUUCCCGCCAUGAUGACCACGAAGCUCGAUGGCGGCUGCGGUGACGCUGCCGCCGCCGCUGCCACCGCCAAUUUAGGGGCGGCGGCUGUGGCACUGCCGCCACCGCCGCCACCGCCGCCGUAGAUGUGGGCAGAUAGUUUCCAGUAGGAACAGGCGAGGAUAAGAAGGGCGAAGGCGAUGAGGCCGAGCAUCACGGCGAGGCCUCCGAAGAGGUACGACACCGGAGAAUGCCAUACGGAUUGCGGCACCGACAACGGCGGCGGCGGCAGAGCGUCGGAUAUAGCUACCGAUCUCAUGUUUACUUUUUUUUUGCAAAUAAUAAUUAAUUAUGAGAGAGAAUGAAAAGGAAGGGAGGGGUUGAGAACAAUUUACGUAGGAAAGAGAGAUUUAUAUAAUGGAGAGUUCAACUACAAGAAUUAACAUCAUCAAGAUGAUUAUUGAUGUGGUCCAUCUGAUUUAUUCAAGGCGAUUUAUAAAAAUACAGUCGACCUAUUCAAGUCGAUUUAUAAAGAUACGAAAGAUUUAAGGAUUAUGAUGUAUUUGAAUACGUUGUUGAUAAACGGACGUGAUUUAACAUUCUUAUAUUAAAUUAUAUAUACAUAUAUAACAAACGGGAGUCCCGAUCUAACGUUAAUUUAAUUUUUUGUGACAGCUCCAUCUUCGGGGAUAAGAGAAUUAGACUCUGAAACGUUCCGCUUUUUGCAGAUCGCGAACAAGAACAAACUACAAGUAAGAACCGUCAUCUAUAAUUCUGAUAUUGAAAUCAAAAUCAUGCCAGAAGGUACGAUCUUAAUUUAUAAUAAAGUUUUACUAGAUAAAGGAUUUUUUUUUUUUUUUACUUGGAGCCAGGUUAAGCCUCUCACUUUUAAUAAUAUUAAUAUAGUAUUUGGAUUAACAAUCGACAAAAUUAAAUACGACAAGUAUUUAAAUUUUAUUUUUUUUUAGUUUAUUUGACUAAUUUUUAAGUGGUUUAAGAAAUAAUAAAUUUUAAUGUUAAUUUGAAUAGCUAUAUACGCAAAUGAUAAUAUAAAAUUAUAAUAUUUGGUUUUGACAAAAUUUAACUAACUUAGAUCAUAUUUAGCAAAGCUGAUCAUCAAUUCGAAUAUCCCAUUAUCGAAAAUGAUACAGUAUUAGACGGCUCCUUUCAAUUCUAGAAGUAUUAUAUCGUUUCUCUCAUUAUUUCUCUUUUAUUAUUGUUAAUGUUAAAAGUUACUUAAUUAUAUGCCUCCGAUCGACAUAUUGUAAUUAUUGACAAGUUUAGAUGGCAGGGUAAUUAAAAAUUCGAAAGUUUAAAUACUUAAUUUAACAAGAUUGCAAGAUUUAGUAAUAAAAUUAAUACUUCGAUACUUAAAUUAAUUUCUUAAAAUAUUGUAGUUCGUGCAAAUUUUUGAAGUUCAAUGUCUAAUUUAUUGAGUAUAAAUAUAAAUUCUAGAUUUUGACAAGGUUUGGGUGUUAGUGUCAAUGGCCAAAAGAUAAAUUCUUGUGAUUAUCGUAAUUUGAAUGUCAUAACUUGUAAUUAAUUUACUGGGUUUUUUAAAAAUAUUGGUUACUCCUUUUUUAAAAAAAAAUUUAAUUACUCUAAUUUGUUUGGGAAAAAUCCCGAAGGUUCCAUGGCUCAUGUUUUCCUUUUUCUGGAGUUGGUCAAACACUGUUUUCUCCUUUUUAUUAAAGGUGGUCGAAAUCACAUGUUACUUAUUUUGGGUGGUUACAUAAUUUUGUCAUAGUGUGAUGCGUUGACCUGAGUUGCUGGAGCAAUAAUUGAUUCUUGGAAAAUUAAUGUUGCUGAAUUUGUUGAAAUUAUCAACUCAAAAUUCGAAGGUAAAACUGUAGGAAACUUAUCAAAAUUAUGGAUCAUUUGAGCUUGGCCAUCUAAUCUUUCAAUUUACUGUCGAAUCAUUCAAUUUGUUUGAUUUAAAUCAGUCCACAACCCUAUGAUUCCAAAAUUCAAACUAAAUACUGGUUUUAAUAAACUUAUAGUUGUGAGAAUGAUAUGAUAUACACAAAAUAAAAAUUUUAAAUUAACAAACAACACUUUCAAAUACUAAAGUCAAAGUGCCAUUAUAAAUAAAAUAAAUUGAAAAAUUGGACAACCGAAUUCAAAUGAUUUAUAGUUCAGAUAAUUUUUAUAUAAUUUUAUCGAAUUGGAAUAUCAAUUUUUUUUUUUUUGAGAGAGAUAGAUAGCACGCUAGCCGCUUCGUUUAUUUCAUUUAGAAAUAAACUUAGCUGGAAAUGUAAAUCAACUUCACUGAUUUUAUUUAGAAAUAAAUUUAGCUGGAAAUGUGAAUCAACUAGGAUUCGAACUUGGUUUUCAGGUACCAACUACCAAGCCCUUUGCCACUUGCUCUAGGGACAGUUGGUAACAUACUACCUAUCUCUCUCUCUCUCUAUCAAAAAAAAAAAACAAAUUCAUGAUUCAAACUUGAGACUUCAGGUACCAACCACCAAACUCUUUACCAUCUGCUUUAGGGACAGUCCGUUGGAAUAUCAAAUUUUUUCGUAUACCAAAUGUUAACAUUACUGAGGGUUAGUGCUAGGUAGCAAGCAAUGAGAAAAAAGAGGGCCUUGUACAGUUGUACUCAUCAUCAUCAUCAUCAUCAUAUACAAUACGCGGCUUCUAGAACACGGUGGAGAAUUAAUUGUUACACCCAUUACGAUAUAUUUAACGUGAUAUUAUUUACAGAAAUAAAUGAAAAACUUGUUCCACGUGAGAUUGAAUGAAUGUUAUUAAAACUUAUAUAAAGCAAGAUGAUGGCGCCCGCAAUGCCAGGUCACAAAAGCUAAAAUGGUUUCGGCCUUGGGCCUGUCAAGCUAAAUCUCGUAUCGUUCGUUAGGCAAAAUGCAUUCGAGCUCAUAACUAUAGGAAGUUUUCAUACGCCUCUUAAUAACUAUUUAACGACGCCCUUUCAACUUUUGAACUUUUUAGUUAGAAUUAAAAUAUUUAAUUAAUUUAAAAAUUUAUAAAAUUAUAACUUUCUAAUUAUUAAUACUUAAUUGAUUAAUUUAUUUUUAAAAUAAAUAAGCUAUUAAAUUUGUAUGAUUAUAAUGAUUUAUAAAAUCUUUUUUUUUCUUUAAUUUUCAAAAAGAGUCGACAAGAUCUCAUAACAAAAAAUAUAUUAGGGUGGUGAUUCAGAAUAUCAUUUAGUUGAGGGGUCUUUUACCAAAAUUAGAUUUUAACCGUGAUUUACGGGGCGUAAUAAUAAGACACAAUACGCUUUUUAUACACGCUCCCCGCUCGCGCCGAACCGUGCGAGAAAAAUCUCGCGCCUGGGGAAGGUCGUCGUCGUCGACGGUUCCGGAAGCUAGGGUUAGGGUUUCUCCUCCGCCAUGGCGCGCCCCGGUCUCCACCACUACCACCACCACCACCAGCAAUGGCCGCCGCAUCCUCUCCCUCCCGUGGCGGCGCCGCCCCCUCCGCCGCCCGCCGCCAUCCCCGUCGACAGCGCCCCUCGCCCCUCCUCCGACGAGGUAUGUAUAUGCCUCCUCUUUCCCCCUCGGUUUCUCUCUCUAAUCGCUUCUUCACUCCCCUCUCGAAGGUUCGCACGAUCUUCAUCACGGGGCUUCCCGCGGACGUGAAGGAGCGGGAGCUCCACAACCUCCUCCGGUGGUUGCCGGGGUUCGAGGCAUCACAGAUCAACUUCAAGGGGGAGCAACCCAUGGGAUUCGCCCUCUUCUCUACUGUUCAGUACGCCGUAGCGGCGAAAGACGCGCUCCAGGUGAAUCUGCCUCUGUUCCUAUUGGUUCUAUGCGUUUUGACGAAGUUUUGGAUCGAUUCGUGCUCACUGAUCUGGAAAAAAUCUGAUCUGAUUUGAUUCAGGACUUGGUAUUUGAUUCGGAGACGAAGUCCGCGCUGCACACGGAGAUGGCGAAGAAGAAUCUGUUUGUCAAGAGAGGUGAUCCAUGCUUGUUUCUAAGGUUUCUUCAGUUGUUUGUAGUUACUUAGUUGCUAUAGACAUUUUUAGCAUCAGGCAUUGAGGGAGCUUUUGCAUUACAUUUACGACAUUAAAUUCUAUCUUUAGGUGAUCCCUUCAAUAUAGAAAGUCUCUUAAGAAUUGGGACGCAGAUGGUACUUUGUGUUACUUUGUGAAAGUUUUCAUUCAGCAAAAUGAUCAUGUCAAGGCUAAUGCUUAGUCCUUCAUAAAUCUCCUAAAACAUCAUGGUUUCCUAUCUGUUACUGAUUAUUUAUGUUUUUUAUGUCUAAUUGUUUCUUUGAGAGUUAUGUGUACCUUUGUGAGUUGUCUUUUGCCUUUAUAUCAUGCGGGUGUCCUUAUCAUCCAACUUGUCUUGAAAAUGCUACAUUGUGAACUAAAUUCAUACUGUUUACUGCUUCUGUCCAUCAUUAAUUAUUAACUAGUGUCUGUUUGAAGCUUAUCGUUCUUGCUAAAAAUAUAUUAAUGGAUUGGUUUGUCGUUUUCAUAAAAUUGUAUGUUUCAGUAAAGAUUCUAAUAACUAAAUUCUUGGAUAGAUUUUGUAGUAAGUGGUAUUUUUGGCAGAUGGAUGCUUGGCUGCCACCUGUUUUCUUGUAAAUUUGCAUUCCGCGUCAAGUUAUUCCUCUCUUUUUUAAUUUUUUUUUUCUCUAUCUUGCUGAUGUACAUAACAAUAAUUUAGGAUUUUAUAACUUCUAAGUCUGUGCAUUUCUAAUCAAUUUAGGUGUGUCAACUGAUCCAAACCCAAUCGACCAAAGUAAACGUCUACGGACUGGUGGGGACUAUGGCAACACAGGCUAUCAAGCUCCCCCUCUUUUUCACCAGUCGCCAACACCUGUGUGGGGAACCAGUAGGUAAAUAGUAAUACAUUUUGGUGUGUAUGUAAUAUGAGUCUUAGUUCCUUGCUAAUUCUUUCUAAUACUGUCAUGUUUAUUUGGAAUUGGAUUAGUUAUAUGGCCCCACCACCACCAUACCCUUAUGGAGGCUAUCCUGUUCCUCCAGUAGCCAUACCUGCGCCUGCUCCCGUGCCUCCUCCAAGCGGUUAUGCUCCUGUGCAGGUGAUAUCCAUUUCUUGAAGUUAAAUGCUCUCAAAUAAUAUUAGGUAAAAAUGUACAUACCUUAUGCAGACUAUAAGCUUUAAAAAUUUUGAUUUUACUACCUAAGAGGGUCUUUGAUUUAAGUGCCUCUAGGCAUUUGUGACUUUUUUUACUGAAAAUUCUGUAACUUGUCGAAUUUUGUUAAUUGACACUAUAUUCUAUAACUUGUAGGCUGAAACUGUUAAGCUCAAACUGAAAUUGAUGGAAUUUGUUAAAAAAAAAAAAGACUUAAAAAAAAAAAGACGUUUGGUAGUGAAGUCAAAAAUUUCAAUUCUAGGUGCUCAUUUAAAAGAUGCAGUUUCAGCCUACAAUUUACAUUUUUCCUUAUAUUAUAGAUUGUAUGAGUUUCAUUUGAUUUCAAUUUGACUGGAUCCUAAGUAUCGUAUGUCGUGGCAAUCCUGGGCUAACUUACUAGUUGGAUAAGAACAACCUAGGGUAUCUCUUGGUUUAAUUUUUUAUUGUGCCUUUAUGGUGGAUCAUAACUCUCUCAGGUUGGAGGGUAAUGUUGCAGUGCCUGUUUCUAAAUUUUGUUUUGCAGAAUACAAAAGAUAAUCCUCCAUGCAAUACCCUUUUUAUUGGCAAUCUUGGGGAGAAUGUAAUCGAGGAUGAACUCAGAAGUCUUUUCAGUGUGUAAGAGUCCUGACCUUGAAUGAAUAUAAAAAAGAUGGCGGCUUCUCAUAUCAAAUUGCUAUAGUCUUAUGCAUGUAGCUGUAACAUGUGUUAUGAAUAUUGUUGAAGAUGAGAAUUGAGGUCUAAACCAUCUGAAAAAUUCUUUCGAAUAUUCAGGCAACCCGGUUACAAACAAAUGAAGGUACUGCGUCAGGAAAGAAACACUGUGUGUUUCAUUGAAUUUGAUGUAAGUAACUGAACAGGUGUCUUCUGUUGUACAUUGUGCUUUCCGUGCUGUUAAUAACGUUGAACUGUUGCAAUUGUGCAGGACAUGAAUACUGCUGCAGCUGUUCAUCACAAUUUGCAGGGUGCUGUCAUUCCUAGUUCAGGUCGUGGUGGCAUGCGAAUUCAAUAUCCUUCAAUUUAGUUUUGUUCAUCUGUUUACUGUUUGUUCUUUCUGAUCGGCUAUCCUAAAUUUAUUUCUAAUUUGCUGAUUUGUUAUUUUGAUAUAUUAAUGCCAUCUACUAGUAGUGAAGAAAGACUAGGCUUGAUUUGGUUUAUUGCUGCAUCUUCAAACUUAAAAGUCCUCCUUAGAAUUGAACUCCUUUUUGUUUUUUUUUUUUUUUUCGGUGCGUGGGUGGAUCGGUGGGUUGGUGGGAAGCCCGAAGUCCUUUCUUCAGAUUUAACUUAGCCAUUUACUGUAAUCAAAUGGAGCUUUGAUCAAGAAAUCUGACCUCUACAUGGUUUUGCUAAUUUACCAUCUUCCUGCUUUUAUUUUUAACUAAUAGAAUAACUUAUACAUUCAACUGGAUGUGUAUUGUACAGAUUUGGUUAGACCUUUCCUUUAUUGAACCAAAUCUGAUGAUUUUGAAUUACUUCAUCUGUUAUUUCCCACUUUUGCUGGUAUCUAUAUUUUAUUUUAUAAUGAUUUUCGUCCAAUAAAUAUAUGUGCUCGGACUGUUUAAGUGUUUCAUGUCAUUGUUAUAGUUGUGCUUUACCCUGCUUUGCUUCUCUUAACUCAUCAAACAUUUUCCAAGAACCCCUUUGGCCGAAGGAAGGAUUAAGUGAAUGGUGCUGGCACUUGAACAAAUGGAGCUCUUCAUGCAUACCGUCACUAGUAACUUUAAAAGGGAUGUAUUCCAAUCUUUCUACUUCCUAAUGACGAUAUGACUAGGAUGGAUACUCCAUUAUGGAAAUCAUGCUGUUGCAUCUGUACUUCAUAAAUUUCCAUUAGCAUUUUCAUCGUGUGAAUGCACCAUGUUAUCAUGUGUGAGCCUUCGGGCAGCAAGAUCUUUUGAUACAUGUGCAUUGUUAUCAUCAACAUGGACGUUAGUCUUAUGCCUGUUUAUCUAAUAUAUGCAGCUUGAUGUAGCCGUCAUGUAACUGUUAUUUAGGUGUACAUUGACAUCACCAUCAUCAUGGAUACUUAUGGGUUUUUUUUCCCCCUCUUUUCUCUAUGAUUUCUAAAACAUAUGCUGCAAUUUCAUGUUUCAUCAACACACCUCACUUGUUGUUUGUUUGUCAAUCUGAGAGCUGAUGCAACCCAUACUCAUGUCAUGUCAUGUCAUGUCAUGUCACGGCAUAUUCAUUGCUGAAGAGGUUUGGUAGACCCAUGUUCAUGUUAUGGCAUACUCAUUACCAAAGAGGUUUUAUGGACUCAUGUCGUCAUGUCAUGGCAUAUACAUUGGUGCAAGUUGUGAGGAAAACAGAUUCAUCUCAUGUCAUGGCAUAUUCAUAAAUGCUGGAGAUUGGAGCAUCAUCAGUUUGACAGAAUCAUCUCAUGUCAUGGCAUGUUCAUGUACCUGCUGGAGCUCGGAGCAUCAUCAUCCAAACCAUAAUCAUAAGUCAUCCUCAAUGGCCUCAUCUAGCAUGAACUGAUCAGUAUGUUUUUACCUCCAGGCUGAAUUCUUUUUAAAUACAAGGAAGAGAGCUGCACAUGAAAUCUUGGCAUUUGGACCUUGCUGCUUGAAGGAAAAGCAAACUCGAGCAAGCUCAUUUUGGCUUAUGCUUGAUAAAUAAAUGAGAUUCUCUUUCUCUGAUUCCUCGAAGUUUCGUUUCUAUGCCUCUACUAUUUUAAAUCCGUGUAGGUUCUUCAUCUACAUCACUGAUGUCCAAGGAACUGCCUCUGCUAUUCUAUCCAUAGGGUGCUUUUUCUUGCCAAUAAGAUUUGCACCAAUACCACUCUACUUUUCUUCCAGUAGCUCUUGAUUUGCUCUUUCACCCUCUUUUUAGAAUUUAAAACUGUUUCGGCAGAAUGCUCCAGUCCUUUAACCAUCCUCCUGCCACCAGAAGCUGGUUAACUAGUCAUCAGUCUUUGAUACAAAGAAGGUGCCGAACCAAGACAAUUGUCGUGCUUGCUAGUUGUCUCUCAGGAGUUUCCUCCAGUGAGUGAAAAAUACUAAUGCCUUGAUGAACGAGUUUGAAGGUCAGGUAAGGCUCUUUUGUGCAAAAUAUGCAACUUAUUAAGUUCCCGUAGUAGAAAACUUGUGUUGUCAACUAUCUUAGAAGAAAUAAUGAGAGCCCUAAUAGCCAGUUAAUGCUGGGUUAACAUAGCUAAUGUUCAAAAAAAUUGUGUUGGAUGAACCCUUCAAAUUGUAGAGAAUGAUAUUAAAAUUUAAAAUUUAGUGAUAUUUGAUUCACAAGUGCCUAUAACAUGGUUGAAGAUUGAUAGUGUAGUUCGAACACAAUUUGCUUAAUAUUUUAUGUGGCAGAUUGUCUAUUUAUUUUGUGCUGUUUUUGUUUUUUUAACUAGCAUUAGUUGAUGUUUGUCCUAGAACAUCAGUAGCUGCUGUAGUCUGCUGGUAUUGUCAUAUGGGAAUAUGCCACGAAGUCGUCGACAGUUUUUUUUCUACUUUUUUGUGUCAGGAAAUGCUUAGGUUUACAGAAAAAUCAUCUGCCUUGUAUAUCAAUUUGGAGGACGCAUAGUGGUGCUAUGGAUUGGUGCUGUCCUCUACUCUAGCUGGUCGGUAGGAGGGCUCCACCAUGUACACAAGGGUUGGUACUCCAAUCGAAGUAUUGGAGGUGAUCUUUUAUGUAGUAAUUGCGCCAUAAUAUGUAUGUCUCCAACCAACCAAUUUUUUUAAUUUUUUUAAAAAAUAUAUAAUAAUGUUUUUAGAAAAGAAAAAAGGAUGGAAUGGAUGAAAAUUUCAGGAGCACAAUUUAGUUCGUUGGGGUUAUGACGUACUGUUAUAUUUCAUACUUUUUCAAAUCUAAGGCCACGCUAAACUGCAAUCACUUGAACACGUUUUUGGGCGUUGUAGAUUGGAUAUUAAAAAGUUGGGCCUGCUUGUCCGCUGGACCAGAGAUGGCCAACACACAUUAUGAAGCAAAUAAAGCACCACCUGAGCAACAAGUAUCUUUCGGUCCAUUAAAAAGCUUUAAAGAUGAGGAGGACCAGAUCGCUGACAAAUCCGGCAGCAGAAAAGCGUUAUCAAAUCGAUCAACAAAACCAAAGACAACGUAUUAAUUAUUUCCUGAAAAGUGCUGCAUAAUGCCGGAUGACAGGUACAUUUAUAUAUCAGAUGACAAUAGGUCCCAAGCAAGAGGCAAAUCAACAAAAUGCUGAUAUAUUCAUAAUUCCCAGACAGAUCAAGCAUAUCAUAAAGUCUGAGGAUAUCCCCGAACAUGCGCUUCACAAUAAACAAGUGAAAAUCUGAGCAUUAACAGGCAGUUUUUCUUAUCUCAGGAUUAAGCAAGUUGUUAAUAAAAGUAGUAUAUACAUGACAAAACAAAGUCGAGUCUCAAAUCCAACGAGGAACAAGUAGAGUAGUUGUUGUUUGGGGUAGUUACCAACACCGUCAAAAUUUUAUUAUCGGAUCCGCAGAGCUGAAAUUGUCCUACCAGUGAAGAGUCUUCAGGUACAAAACAAAGCUGCAGAACACAAUGCAUAGGGAGUGUAACGGGGAGUGCUUGAGCAAUAAGACCAAGCCACUCGCGCACGGGGUCUCAUUCUUCGGGCGUAUCAGACCGGAUAACUAACAAGAAGAUAACCUAGUUAGCACUUGGAGAAAAUGAACGAUGCAGAAGGCGUAGAAAUAAUGUAAGGCCAGCUCAACCAGUUACUCGUAAGAGCUAAGAACAAAAUAGUAGUAAGCAGAUGGCAGAAAAACCAACUAAACAAACAAAAAUUGUAGCAAUCACUAUGAAUUAUGCCAUAUGUAAUGUAUUUUGAUAUCGAUAUUGUACCCGUCAAUAAAUUAUUGAGCCAAUAGCUGAUAAUAACUCUUUCUGUGUUGGUUGAUCAAGUUAUCAAUCAUUUAAACCGCCACUUACGCCUCCAUUCUCACACUGUUUACCAAUUAAUGCGUUUUUCUCCACUUAUUUGACAUCUCUGAAGCUUCAAAGAGCUCGAUCCAAUAAUUGUCCAAAUCGCUAGUUACGGUGAUGAACAACGGCAAAAAAGGUCUUUCAAAUUAAACUUAUAACUUAUGUUAUCACUACUGCCACCAGCAGUGAAUCACUAGGACUGCUACCACCAGUAAUCGCCUUUGCCGACACCAUCACUACCACAACCGAUGCCAUCAAUGAACAGCCACCCUUGGUAAAACAUCACCACCACCAUUUCAGCGAUGAAGACACAACCAUUACCACCACGGCACCACCGCCACCUCAAACGAUCCAUCCAUGACCAUCAACAUCUCUGUUCAGCUGCCACAACCCACAGUGUCAUGUUUAUAAUAGUUCUCUUGGUUAUAAACAAAUUCUACCGAGUUUUGGGGUUAGCUGAACAUACAUAUACCACUGCCCAAACAAACAGGAUAAUGUUAGUUCCCCAUCCACAUUCCUGCUUAACAAUUCUAUUAAUCUGAAUUCUAAAACCCCCAUGGAAACAAUACCACUAAGAUCGAUACAGAUGAAUUUGUGCAUGUAUUUGAUCAAAUCCCUAAUAAGAACAUAUAAAUCAUCAAGGCGAUCCAAACAACAACUGACACAAGCAUCACUACAAAACCGAUCACAUCAUCAGAAUCUACACUUCAACCACCAAUAUCAACCAUUGCAACCCUAAAUUUCCAAUAACAAUCACCAAGUACCAAAAAAGAAUCGAAUGAAAUACAACCACAGCAUCCAAAUCACGCCAAAUCGCAUAGAUCGCGACAGAUCUCGACCGAACGAGGUAAAACCAGUUCAAAUCCUAAGUUAAUAUCGAGAGGGCAAAAACCGUAGAUAGAGGUAUCAUAUCGGGCUCCAAAUCACACUAGAUCACAUAGAUUCCCGCAGAUCCCGAUCGACCGCGCUCAAACCGGUUCAUAUCCUAGGAGAAAAGCGAGAUGUAGGUCGGAUCAUACCUGGUUUCUCGGGCUUUCCCUGGGCCCAUUUCGAAAUGGCGAAGUGGACCUUCUCCCGGGAGGCGGCGUCGGCCUUGUAGGGCUCCUUGAGGCAGGAGCGUAGAAGGGAGGCGCAGAUGUUGGAGUAGGUUAUGUACGUCAUCCCCGCCGCCCUCCAGAACGGCGCCGCCGCCCCCGCCACCGCCCCCGCCGCCGCAGACGCCAUGGACGAUGAUCGCAAACCCUAGCCCCUCUCUCUCUCUCUCUCUCUCUCUCUCUCUCUCUCUCUCCCCUUUAUGACUGAUGUGUUCUGACUUCUGAGACGACGACGAUGAUGACGAUGUUCGAUUGGGUUGUGACUCGCGAAAGCGUAAUUGGGUUUAGGGGGUGGCAAUCCACCUCGCCCAUUGGCGAGCCACCUCGUGUUCGUUUCGCAAUGAACUCAAAACCGUAUUGCUCCUUCAGUAAACUAGCCAAAACACAAGUUGAGUUUUUCAGCAUGUUGAAUAAAGAAAAAAUUUUAAAUAUUAUCUCCGUAAUUUUAUAUUUUUUUACUUUAAUAUUUUAUAGUUUAAAAUUUAUCAAUUCAGCAUCAUGUAAUUUCGCACUUUCUCACUUUAGUACCAUGUGGUUUAAAGUGAAUCACUUUAGUAUCUUGUGGUUUAAAAUUUUUUUAUAAAAAUUUCAUCAUAUUUGAAUUGUUUUAUACCGUUAAAUUCACUAACGCAUCAUAUUGACUAUUAAAAUUGUUAUUUUUUAGACCUUUUGAUCACUAGUUAAAUGAUGUCGAAAAGUUAUGAAAUUUAAUUUACAAAUACUUUUAAUAGUAUUAGAUAGAUCAAAUCUAACAGAGCCGAUCAUCGAUUUAGAAGCCCCAUCAUUAAAAACAACUUGGUAGCACGAAGGCCUUCGUGCUACCAAUAGUAUACCAGCCUAGCGCCCUUUCUCUCUUUCUCUCUAUAUAUAUAGCAAACGGGGUUCGUUGUCACCCAUUUGUUUUCGACGAUAAAACCUCCAACUAAACAAUCGGUACCGUUGAACAUGAUCUAUACCACUUGAAGUAUAUAGAAAUCAAAUUUUAUGAAUUUUCAAUAUUAUUCUCUUGUCUGUCAAGUAAAUACAAAUAUAAACAACUUGAAAUGAAUAUCCUCUAAAAAGUAAUGAUAGGAGUCUUGUAAUCAAGAUCGAGAGUACAGAUCUUGUUCUAAAUAGUUUAAAAAAUUUUAUAACCAAAAUUUAAUUUAUUUGGAUAUUUUUAUAUUGUUAAACUAGAAAACGUCUCAUAUCGCACAUUAAAAUUACAAAAUUUGAAACCUUUUCACCAUUAAUUCAAUUAAUGUCGAAAAAAUUUGAAAUUUAGUUUCUAGAUAUUUCAAAUGGUAUACAUCAUAUUCAACUGUGCCGAUUAUCAAUUUAAAGAUUUUAUUAUCAAAAAUAAAUCAACAAAAUUUAUUUACUUCCGAUAGUAUAAUAAUAAUAAUAAUAAUAAUAAUAAUAAUAACACGCGCCGAUGAGUCUAACAAACAACGCCAAAUUCCAAUGUAAAGCAACAUAGAUUCGAGCUCGGAUCUAUGAUACGAAAUUGAAUAUUACCUUAUCAAAACUUAGUACAUCUGACAUACGGUAAAUAUUUUUUUCGCGAAUGUGAACAUAGUCAUGUAGAAAACAACAAAAAAAAUACUACAUUUCAUUGCAUUAAUGAGUUUAGGGCCAUCACAAAAUCCAAAAAAUUUAAAGGCUGUUUCCUUGCAUAUAAUUAUAGUUGUACUAUAAUUAUAAUCGCAUUUAGAUUCAAAUUUUGUUUUGAUUUAAUAUANAUUAUCUUUUAUUUAGAAUUAUUCUUUCCAACAGCUAUAGCUUCACCUCAUGAUGAAUUUAAAUAUAUUAAAUCCAAAAAAUUUAAAGGCUGUUUCCUUGCAUAUAAUUAUAGUUGUACUAUAAUUAUAAUCGCAUUUAGAUUCAAAUUUUGUUUUGAUUUAAUAUAUUUAAAUUCAUCAUGAGGUGAAGCUAUAGCUGUUGGAAAGAAUAAUUCUAAAUAAAAGAUAAUUUUAUAUUUCUAAUUAUUUUUUAAAUUUUAUAUAUAUAUAUAUAUAUAUAUAGAGUCCGGCUACUAUACUCUUAUGAGUACGAUCUCCCUCAUACUCAUAAGUUAUUUUCGAUGAUAGAGCUUCCGAAUCGACGAUCCACACCGUUAAACGUUGUCUAGAGCAUUUAAAACAUCUAGAAAUCAGAUCCACACCGUUAAACGUUGUCUAAAGCAUUUAAAACAUUUAGAAAUCAAAUUUUAUAAUUUUUCGACAUUAUUUACCUUACGAUUAAAAUGUCACAAAAUUGACAAUUUUUAACAGCCGGCAUGGAAUAUUUGCUAGUUUAACAAUGUAAAAGAAUCGAAAUCGGUUGAAGUUUUGAUAGAAAAUUCUAUUCACUACAUAGAUAAAGAUCAAGAAUUCCGAUCUUAAAUUGAAGGAUCCGAUCAUCAAUUUUUAAGACAUCGUUCGAUUUUGACUGUUCAUUUUAUGUCCGCUUGAUGAACUUUCUUAUAAUUUUGAAAAAUUAUGAAAUUUAUUUUCUAGAAAUUUCAAAUACUCUAGAUCAUAUUUAACGGAGUGGAUCGUCGAUUUGGAAGCCCCAUCAUCGAAAACAAUUUAUGAGUACGAAGGGCCCAAUACUCAUAAGAGUAUAGUAGUCCUACUCUCUCUCUCUCUCUCUCUCUCUCUCUCUCUAUAUAUAUAUAUAUAUAUAUAUAUAUAUAUAUAUAUUAGAGGUUAAAUUUUUUUUUUUUUAAAAUACAUAUCAUAGCUGUAUGUACCUAAACACAUUAUUUAUACUCACACUAUAUUUUACUAUAUCCAGCAAAAUAAGAGUUAUAUUUUUACAUAUAUUUCUCUAACUGUGAUUCGAACCGAGAAACCAAUAGUUCGAAAUUAAAGGCAUAUUUGAUUCACCUAUUUUAAAUUAUGAAAUCGAAACGGAAUUUACUGAUUUCGAUAGUUGUCGUUUGUUUUAAAGGAAUCAAAUUUCAGUUUUCAUUCCACUCAUGAAUAAAAAUGACCAAAUUUAUUUAUGACUCCAUCGGACUUUGAAUUUCAGAUCGGUCUAUUUUAAAGUAAACUAUUCAAAAUUUUCUUUCACCGACACCUGCCUAGUUACUCUUCCUCCGUAACUUUCUCCUCUCUUAAUUAAAACUAUUUCUGAAACAUUCUGAAUUUUUAUUUCGAUUUUCAUUUCAAUAAUAAAUAAAACAUUUUAAAAUAAUUUAAUUUAAUUUAAUUUAUUUUUAUUUUUUAUUUUUAUUCUAAUCACGAUGCAAACAUGUCCUAAUAAACGUUUGAUCUAAGGAAAAAUGGUUGUUGGUGGCGGUGGUGGAAAGUGUCGUCCAAUUUCUUCGGAAGUCAGUUACAACGAGCAACCACUUUUGCCACUCCCUUCUCUGUGACUUCCACGGAAACGGAACACAGUUCCCGUGCGGUGAUGUGGAGCCCACACGUGUGCGGGGGCCCCACGUGUAAGCCGCGGGGGACCGUGACACGAUACGCGUUACACCCAGGAUUACUCGGCCCCUCCCACCGCCUUCCCUUUCUAGAAAGCCCCCAGUAAAAGCCCAAUCCCACUUUCCCAUGGCAUCUUAUUCCAUGGACCCGGUCCACCGUGGACCGGUCUCCUAACGCUCAACAAUAUUCCGGAGGUAUCUAAACUUCACUACAAUUUUACACUUUAAACUAUAGGAACAUAUGAUGUGCAAUAGUAGAGAUGUAAACGGGGCGGAUCUGGGGGCGGAAAGGUUCUCCCUCCUCCGCUUUAUUUCUUGUCGGGACGGGGCGAAUUCGGAACGGAUUAUUUUUUAUUUUAUUUUUUGCUCUCCUUUACCGUUCCAUUCAGGACGGAUCGUGAUGGCAACGGAUUUUUGGCGGAUUUUUGAUGAAGGAAGAAAAUGGUCUCUCCUCUCUCGCUCCAUUAACUUGGUGGAUUGGGGCUGAUUUGAAACGGAUUAUAUUUUUUUUUUAUAUUUUUUGCUGCCACUUACCUUCCCAUUCAGGACGGAUUGGGACAGGAGCUCCACCAAUGCGGAUCCAUUUGCAUCCCUAUGCCUUAGAGCUUUGUUUUUAUUAAUUUAGUUUAACGUUUGUUCAAAAUUUUUACUACCUGCAUAUAAAGAUACAACGACGUGUGUGAUUAUCAAAUAUAUAAUAAAAUAGAUAAAAAUAAAA